rnacentral:rRNA from 1 species
UACGGGGGGGGCAAGCGUUGUUCGGAAUUACUGGGCGUAAAGGGCUCGUAGGUGGCCAACUAAGUCAGACGUGAAAUCCCUCGGCUUAACCGGGGAACUGCGUCUGAUACUGGUUGGCUUGAAUUCGGGAGAGGGAUGCGGAAUUCCAGGUGUAGCGGUGAAAUGCGUAGAUAUCUGGAGGAACACCGGUGGCGAAGGCGGCAUCCUGGACCGAGAUUGACGCUGAUGCGCGAAAGCCAGGGGAGCAAACGGG